UAAAACGACUCUCGGCAACGGAUAUCUCGGCUCUCGCAUCGAUGAAGAACGUAGCGAAAUGCGAUACUUGGUGUGAAUUGCAGAAUCCCGUGAACCAUCGAGUCUUUGAACGCAAGUUGCGCCCCAAGCCUUCUGGCCGAGGGCACGUCUGCCUGGGUGUCACAAAU
rnacentral:rRNA from 1 species